AGUACAACCUCAAGGCAUCGGGUUCUUAGGAUCGCUAAAUAGCUAACUUCUGAGCUCUUACUAUGUAUCAGUCACUGGGUUAAGUGCAACCCCCGUCAGGCCAGAGUGAAUUCUGGGAUUACUCAACCUGAAGAAUCUGUGCUGGAGCUUCUGGGAUUACCAUGUGGAGAACACCUGCCUGAGACCCAAGCCAUUUCAAAGGAAGCAACAUCCUGGGACGGCUCUGUGGCUGAUUGGAAAAUGGUUGUAUCAGUAUUUCUCAAUCAGGACUCAAUGACACACCUGAUGUAGUGAAUUCUGGAAGGAGAUGGGGACAAGGAUAAACUGCUAUCUACUGACAAAUGCAGCCAUAUCAUGAGGAAACUCAAGCAGCCCUAUGAAGAUGUCCACAUGGGAAGGAACUCAGGCCUCUGCCAACAGCCAGCACCAGCGUGCCAGCCAUGAGAGUGAGCCAACUUGCAGUGAAUCCUCCAGUCCCACUCAAGCCUUUGAUGACUGCUGGCCAGGCGAUGUCUUAUCACAAACUCAUGAGACACCUCAAGCCAGAAUCUCCUACAUAAG